rnacentral:rRNA from 1 species
CCAAUAGCGUAUAUUAAAGUUGUUGCAGUUAAAAAGCUCGUAGUUGAAUUUCGGGGUUAGUAGGUUGGUCAUGCCUCUGGUAUGUACUGGUCUCACUGAUUCCUCCUUCCUGAUGAACCUUAAUGCCAUUAAUUUGGUGUUUUGGGGAAUUUGGACUGUUACUUUGAAAAAAUUAGAGUGUUUAAAGCAAGCUAACGCUUGAAUACAUUAGCAUGGAAUAAUGAAAUAGGACGUUCGAUCCUAUUUUGUUGGUUUCUAGGAUUGACGUAAUGAUUAAUAGGGAUAGUUGGGGGCAUUAGUAUUCAAUUGUCAGAGGUGAAAUUCUUGGAUGUAUUGAAGACUAACUACUGCGAAAGCAUUUGCCAAGGAUGUUUUCAUUAAUCAAGAACGAAAGUUAGGGGAUCGAAGACGAUCAGAUACCGUCGUAGUCUUAACCAUAAACUAUGCCGACUAGGGAUCGGAUGAUGUUAAUUUUUUAAUGACUCAUUCGGCGCCUUACG